AAAAGAUUGACUUCACUGUAAAGCAUGAAGCGGUACCUCUACAGUCCAAAGAAGUGUUGGUUAUCAGAAGAAAAUGUGUACUUUUGGAGCUGCCAAUCUCCAUGGACUACCUGCUUAACCUCUAAGGAACCCUAAUUCAUGGCAUAAUUGACGAGUCCAGCAAUUUUCUGUGAAGUGUUGACAGCGAGCAGACCUUUGUUUGCAGCGAAAAAAAUGUGAUCAUCAGUACAUCGCAGAGGCCUG